CCUUCACGGUGCUCCGUAAUCUAAGUCUAAGUGAACGUGAAUGAGGACGAGGUCAUCACGAUCACGUAUGGGAAAAAAUACAAAAAGCAAAUGCACGAGGCAAUUCUUCAAGGAACGACUAGCAUAAGCUGUAUGUUCACAAAUUUACACAAUGAUUUCCAGUGAGCGUGACUUGGUACCAGGAGUGAAAGAUUCUUGUCACGCUCCCAGUUCAUCAAAAUGUAAACUUUGAGACCGGUUUGAAACUCACGGGAAAGUGAGUCGAUAGCAAUUGGCGGACUUUCAAACAACAAUUUGAACUGUUCAUGGCGGCAAUCGAGUUAGGCAAGAAACCUGACUCAAUAAAGAUAGCGCUGCUGCUCACAGUAGCUGGUCCGCAAGGCAUUUAAGUGUUCAAUGCUUUUGAAUUUGGAGAUAAGGACAGGAACACAUUUGAUAAGGGAUCAUCUUAAAACCAAGAGUUAGGAGACCAUACAUUUCUGUCACAGAAUGCCAGAGACUGUCAGCAGCUGUCAGCCUGGGAUGAAGCUUCUGGAUCACUCCUCUGUGCAGCUCCACAGCAUCUCUGUCCAGCUUUAGCCUGGAGAGGGCUGACACCAGUUAGACCCUCCAACUGUUGUCCCAUGUCUGAAGGAGGUACCGCACAAAAUGAAUGAUUUUCACUAUUGUAAUCACUGCUGCAUCACCCAGUCCAGCCAACAAAAAGGAGACAAAUGCACAGUUAACAAUGAAGACCAAGAAUUCUUCAGGUAAUGCUGCAGUUACAAGCUACUGCACUGGAUUGAACUGAAUAAGCACUUGACUGUAUCUUGUAGCCUGUCACAAAGGGUGAUCAUUUUCAAAGACAGCUGUUUGUUGAUGCCAUUGUCCUCUGCAACUUGUUCACUCCUCUGUAAAUCGCAUGACGUCUGGCCUUUCUGAUGAAAACAUUACAUUUUACCUCUACGUUAUUUACAAAAUCAGUAAACAUGGCAUUUUGUGGUUUGUGGAAAAAAUGUUUAAUUUGAUUAUACUGUUAAAGUCUGAAAAGGAGCAAGGAUUUUUUUUCUUACAUACUUCAAUAAAGGUUUGAUGUUUUAAUGCCAGUUUUAUUUUGGUGCACUGCAGUAGAUCAGCAUUCUUAUGAACAUUUGUCAGCAGUGUUCAUUGCCUUCACAAAACAGUGAAACCAUGUAGAGAAAAUCCAUUCUUUGUGCAACAGAAGCAGCGCUCAAACACUCAAGCAAUUUUAACUACAAAUAUUGCGCUGAAAUAUAUAUACGACCAAUUAUAGGCUACAGAGAGUAUUGAUUAUGCAAGUGAGGAGACUCAUUGCAAAGUCACUUUCAACUAGGACUCAUCACUUGAUGCUAAGUGCAUCUUCACAGGAGCCUUUUUGGAAAAAAUAUUUAUCCAAUUAUAGCAAACCAGGAGUUUGAACUGUAGAAGGUGGAACUGGUACAAUAAAUAAUUGGUGCAUCCUUUCGGAGUUAUAAAUGUCAUUGGCAGACUCUUUACAUUAAUAAGUGUGGCAGCACCCAGUCCCAGCAUUUGUAGCUGGCAGUGAUGUAUUCAGGAUGAAUGGGUUUAACGAGUAAUCAUGGAAGGUUCAUGACCCUCUCUGGUCCAUUAAGAGGAACAGUAUACAUUGUGAAGUUGUGUCGGACUUUGUUAUUUUCAGUGCUGCUACAGGAAAAUUACCCAUGUAGUGAUAUUCCCUGUAAGGCGUCACUUUUAUAAAUAUAGGCACACUGUCUGACCACUUUUCAGGGAACUAAUGUCAAUGCAUUUAUUUUCUGUAUUUUAAUGAGCUGCUUGUGUACUAUAUUUAUAAGAUUGACCUGCAUUACUGACAGACUGAUUCAGAAGUGGGACCACAGAGGACUGGAAUGCUGAAAUUGUGGUUAUUUUUUGUUCCCUCUUUAUGAGAGUUCCUUAAAGUACAAGAAGCCGAGACCCAGAUUCAAUUUAUAUUAUAUUAUAUUAUACUACCCUAUCCUUGAUGUGUAUAUAUAAACGGAAGUGUACAAUGGAAACACAGUUUUUGUUAAAUAAGCAAUUUAAUUAACAUUAAUUUUUGUGGUAGCUGAUCUUUCCAAACUGCUUGUGAAUAAGAAUUAAAAAACAGUUGCUGAAUAUUGAAGCAUCAAAUAAAAAUGCCAUAAUUAUUGUAAUAUUAUAGCCAUUAUUAACUCCAAGGUUAUGGGUUUGACUGCCUGGUGGGGUACUGCUUUUUUAUCCUUGAGUGAGGUACUUAAGAUGAAUUUCUUCAGUCGUCAUACAACUGUACCAAUGGGAGAAAAUAAUGCAAGCCACAGAGGAUAAGAUCAUCUGUUAAAUGCCUGAAAUGAAAUGGAAUGUAAAAUAAAGGGGUUUCUUACCUAAUCAACCUACAUGCUAAUACAAGAA